rnacentral:rRNA from 1 species
UCAAUAAGCGGAGGAAAAGAAACCAACAGGGAUUGCCUUAGUAGCGGCGAGUGAAGCGGCAAAAGCUCAAAUUUGAAAUCUGGCUCUUUCAGAGUCCGAGUUGUAAUUUGAAGAAGGUAUCUUUGGGUCUGGCUCUUGUCUAUGUUUCUUGGAACAGAACGUCACAGAGGGUGAGAAUCCCGUGCGAUGAGAUGAUCCAGGCCUAUGUAAAGUUCCUUCGAAGAGUCGAGUUGUUUGGGAAUGCAGCUCUAAGUGGGUGGUAAAUUCCAUCUAAAGCUAAAUAUUGGCGAGAGACCGAUAGCGAACAAGUACAGUGAUGGAAAGAUGAAAAGAACUUUGAAAAGAGAGUGAAAAAGUACGUGAAAUUGUUGAAAGGGAAGGGCUUGAGAUCAGACUUGGUAUUUUGUAUGUUACUUCUUCGGGGGUGGCCUCUACAGUUUAUCGGGCCAGCAUCAGUUUGGGCGGUAGGAGAAUUGCGUUGGAAUGUGGCACGACUUCGGUUGUGUGUUAUAGCCUUCGUCGAUACUGCCAGCCUAGACUGAGGACUGCGGUUUAUACCUAGGAUGUUGGCAUAAUGAUCUUAAGUCGCCCGUCUU